rnacentral:rRNA from 1 species
GUGUUUUUAUUUUUUAAAAGAAGAUGGUUAUAGAGUAUGUGAGCGAAAUUUGUAUUUUACCUAGAGUUUAAAAGUACUGUGUGGGAAAAUCUAUUUAUUGUUUGAUAAAAUUAGGUUGUUUAGUACCUUUUGUAUUAGGGUUGAUUAAUGUGUGUGUGCAUUAGGGCUAUUUCUCGAUUAAUCUCGGGCUAUUUUCUCUUGGUUUAUUCUCGUUGUAUAGAGUUGGAUAGGGGUUUAUAGGGAUGAAAUAUUAUUCAAGUUAUUUUUUAUCUGGUUCUCUAAGAAAUUUAAUUUUUAGUAUUUGUAUUAGGGCAAUAAGCAGGGAUUAGCUUGUUUAUGUUUCAUAUAGGAUAAUGUUUUUCUUUUGCUUGUUGAGUUGAUAGUGCUAAUUUUUAUGGAGUUAUUAUUGGGCAAGGUUUUAAAAUUAUUUUUUGUUUUUGUUUUAUUAUUGGGGUUAUUUCGUUGACUUUAAGUGUUAUGGGAUAAUGAUUAUAUUAGUAAUAUUUUGUUUUGUAAGAUUAAUUAGAUUUUUGAUUUUUGGGUGAGUAUGGUUUUUAUUGUGAUAUUGAAAUUAGAGUUGAUGAAUUAGGCAAGAUUUGAUUUCUGACUGUUUAGCAAAAACAUUGUUUUUUGUUGAGGUAAAAAAUAAGUUCUGUCCACUGCCACAAGGUGAAGGGCUGCAGUAUUUUGACUGUAUGAAGGUAGCAUAAUCAUUAGCUUUUUAAUUGGAGGCUGGUAUGAAGGUGAAACAGGGGUCUGCUGUUUUUAUUCUAUUUGUUGAAUUUUAUUUUUAUGUGAAAAAUCAUGAUUGGGUUAGAGGGACAAGAAGACCCUAAUAAAUUUUAUUUUUAUUAUUGAUGAGUGUAUAGGUUGUGAUUAGUGCGAUUUUGUUUUAGGAGUUUGACUGGGGCGGUUGUUUAGUGAAACAUAAACUAAUUUUUAACUUUUAAUGGCGGAAUAUUAGACCUGGGGUGUUUAGAUGAGUGUGAAAUUACUGUAGGGAUAACAGCGUGAUUUUAUUUGAGAGUUCUAAUUGACGAUAAA